rnacentral:rRNA from 1 species
UACGAAGGGUGCAAGCGUUAAUCGGAAUUACUGGGCGUAAAGGGUGCGUAGGCGGUUGUUUAAGUCUGUCGUGAAAUCCCCGGGCUCAACCUGGGAAUGGCGAUGGAAACUGGGCAGCUAGAGUGUGUCAGAGGAUGGUGGAAUUCCCGGUGUAGCGGUGAAAUGCGUAGAGAUCGGGAGGAACAUCAACGGCGAAAGCACUCUGCUGGGCCGACACUGACACUGAGAGACGAAAGCUAGGGGAGCAAAUGGG